ACCGGCGCACGGGUGAGUAACACGUAUCCAACCUGCCGAUGACUCGGGGAUAGCCUUUCGAAAGAAAGAUUAAUACCCGAUGGCAUAGUUCUUCCGCAUGGUGGAACUAUUAAAGAAUUUCGGUCAUCGAUGGGGAUGCGUUCCAUUAGGUUGUUGGCGGGGUAACGGCCCACCAAGCCUUCGAUGGAUAGGGGUUCUGAGAGGAAGGUCCCCCACAUUGGAACUGAGACACGGUCCAAACUCCUACGGGAGGCAGCAUG
rnacentral:rRNA from 1 species